ACCUUAGAGACCAACUAAGUUUGUUCUUGGUAUAAGCUUUCGUGUGCAUGCACACGAAAGCUUAUACCAAGAACAAACUUAGUUGGUCUCUAAGGU